AAGACAGUCCACAAUCCUGACACCCGGGGACCUAUGAUGACCUAACACAACCCAUGGAGGAGGACAUCACCUGAUGCACAAUCUCCUUAUCUAAAGUUGCUCACUUUCUCAGACUUUGAUCCAGCUUGGUGGAGCUCAUUAGAUGAGAACAUGGCUUCUCUACCGACUGGAGGUGACAAUGACGAUAAACAGUAUCUUAUUAUUCCUGUCCAGAAUCCAGAGCCUUUAGUUUUCAGGACAUACUGUAUGUCUCAGAAGAUGUUGGAGUGGCCACACAAAAACCCAAGAGAAAAAUAUGCUAAAAUUCAGAAAUACUCAAUACAAAUGAAUAAGCAUGCAUUGUACUUCUGAGAAAUUGCAAAGUGUGUCAUCUGAUUUUCUGGUCUUCUCAAUGGCCACUUUUCAAAGUGCUUAAUGUACAACAAUAAAUAUACAA